rnacentral:rRNA from 1 species
AGUGAACGCUGGCGGCGUGCUUAACACAUGCAAGUCGAACGAGUAAGUGCUGUAGCAAUACAGAUUACUGCUAGUGGCAGACAGGUGAGUAAUACAUGGGAAUCUGCCUUGGAGUCUGGGAUAACAGUUGGAAACGACUGCUAAUACCGGAUAUUGCCGAGAGGUGAAAGAAUUUCGCUCCAAGAUGAGCCCAUGUGGGA